UCAGAUGUUAUCAAUAUACCAUAGACAGUAACGGCCGUCAGGCUUAAUCAUGUUACCGAGGUAAAAGUUGGAUACUAAACUUUCACCCGUAGUCUGUCUAUGUCUGCGGGUGUUUUUAUAUCACUCU
rfam:Erysipelotrichaceae bacterium 3_1_53 genomic scaffold supercont1.28, whole genome shotgun sequence.